rnacentral:rRNA from 1 species
UAUGUGAUCGUCUCUUGCAUAUCAAUAAGCGGAGGAAAAGAAACUAACAAGGAUUCCCCUAGUAACGGCGAGUGAAGCGGGAAGAGCUCAAAUUUGAAAUCUUAAAGGGUUUCCCUUUACGAAUUGUAGUUUAAAGAAGUGUUUUCUGUUGAGGUUUUGGUAAAAGUUCUUUGGAAUAGGACAUCAUAGAGGGUGAGAAUCCCGUAUUUGACCUUUACUUUCAACUUUGUGAUACACUUUCAAAGAGUCGGAUUGUUUGGGAAUGCAGUCCAUAAUGGGUGGUAAAUUUCAUCUAAAGCUAAAUAUUGGCGAGAGACCGAUAGCGAACAAGUACCGUGAGGGAAAGAUGAAAAGAACUUUGAAAAGAGAGUUAAACAGUACGUGAAAUUGUCAAAAGGGAAGCGUUUGACACCAGUGUUGUUUUUCUGAAAAUCAAUUAAAGAACUGUUUAUGCUAAGUUGUUUAGACUUUAUCAGCUAACUGUUUAGUUUUGAGCUUUUCUUUAAUGCACUUUUCAGUUAACAAGUCAACAUCAAUUUCUUUUGCUGUAAAAAAGCUUGAGGAAGGUGGCUUGAGAUUCGUCUUAAGUGUUUAUAGCCUCUUGCCUAUGCAGUCGGAGAGAUUGAGGUCUGCAGCGUAGAUCCUUCGGGGCUAAAUGCAUUUGUGCUAAGUUAUAACAUUUUAUAGACAACUUGUUGACUAUGAUUUGUCUCGUAGCUUACUCGCUUAUGUUAUUUUACCUACGCUUAGGAUGUUGAGUAGCGACAUACGCAC